ensembl:rRNA 5S_rRNA 5S ribosomal RNA
UAUAGCAGUUAUAUCACCCUGCAGCUCUGAACUGGUUACCCACUGAAGCUAAGCAGGGUUGAGCCUGGUCAGUACCUGGAUGGGAGACCUCCUGGGAAGCUCUGGUUGCUGCUGGAA